CCUACGGGUGGCUGCAGUGGGGAAUAUUGCACAAUGGGGGAAACCCUGAUGCAGCGACGCCGCGUGAGUGAAGAAGUAAUUCGUUAUGUAAAGCUCUAUCAGCAGGGAAGAAAAUGACGGUACCUGAGUAAGAAGCCCCGGCUAACGCCGUGCCAGCAGGCGCGGUAAUACGGCGGGGGCAAGAGUUAUCCGGAUUUACUGGGUGGCAGGGGAGCGUAGACGGCAGUGCACGUCUGGCGUGAAGGGCGGGGGCUCAACCCCCGGACUGCUCUGGAAACUGUCCGGCUGGCGUGGAGGAGAGGUAAGUGGAAUUCCUAGUGUAGCGGUGAAAUGCGUAGAUAUUAGGAGGAACACCAGUGGCGAAGGCGGCUUACUGGACUGUAACUGACGUUGAGGCUCGAAAGCGUGGGGAGCAAACAGGAUUAGAUACCCUGGUAGUC
rnacentral:rRNA from 1 species